AGUGAACGCUGGCGGUAGGCCUAACACAUGCAAGUCGAACGGCAGCACAGAGGAGCUUGCUCCUUGGGUGGCGAGUGGCGGACGGGUGAGGAAUACAUCGGAAUCUACCUUUUCGUGGGGGAUAACGUAGGGAAACUUACGCUAACACCGCAUACGACCUUCGGGUGCAAGGAGGGGAUCGCAAGACCUUACGCGGAGCGCUGAGCCGCUGGCGGAUUAGCUUGUUGGCGGGGUAACAGCCCACCAAGGCGCCCAUCCGUAGCUGGUCUGAGGGGAUGAUCAGCCACACUGGAACUGAGACACGGUCCAGACUCCUACGGGAGGCAGCAGUGGGGAAUAUUGGACAAUGGGCGCAAGCCUGAUCCAGCCAUACCGCGUGGGUGAAGAAGGCCUUCGGGUUGUAAAGCCCUUUUGUUGGGAAAGAAAAGCAAUCGUUUAAUACCCGGUUGUUCUAACGGUACCCAAAGAAUAGGCACCGGCUAACUUCGUGCCAGCAGCCGCCGUAACAC
rnacentral:rRNA from 1 species